rnacentral:rRNA from 1 species
AGCUGCAGAAGAAGCACCGGCUAACUCCGUGCCAGCAGCCGCGGUAAUACGGAGGGUGCGAGCGUUAAUCGGAAUUACUGGGCGUAAAGCGCAUGCAGGUGGUUUGUUAAGUCAGAUGUGAAAGCCCGGGGCUCAACCUCGGAAUUGCAUUUUGAAAACUGGCAAACUAGAGUACUGUAGAGGGGGGUAGAAUUUCAGGUGUAGCGGUGAAAUGCGUAGAGAUCUGAAGGAAUACCGGUGGCGAAGGCGGCCCCCUGGACAGAUACUGACACUCAGAUGCGAAAGCGUGGGGAGCAAACAGGAUUAGAUACCCUGGUAG